rnacentral:lncRNA from 1 species
UACAUGUCAUGGCAUACAUUAUAGAACCCAUUAGCAAGGUAUAUAAAAUUCUACUCAUACGCUCUCUCUCUCUUGAGGGGUUGUCAGACAAUCCUUCUUCGAGAGAGAAAUUCUAUGACCUAUCGAAAGAUAGCUUUUCUUGAAAUUCUCCAUACUGAACUGUUUCAGCAUAGUAUCUAUGUACAUAGAUUGUGAGAGUCCGAGCAGUCUC